GAUGAACGCUGGCGGCGUGCUUAACACAUGCAAGUCGAACGGAAAGGCCCUGCGCUUGUGGGGUUCUCGAGUGGCGAACGCGUGAGUAUCACGCGAGUAACCUGCCCUUGACUUUGGGAUAACUUCACGGAACUGGGGCUAAUACCGCAUAGGAGCUUCUGCUGCACGGUGGUCGUUGGAAAGUUUCGGCGGUGGUGGCUGGACUCGCGGCUUAUCAGCUUGAUUGUGGGGUAGUGGCUUACCAAGGCUUUGACGGGUAGCCGGCAUGGGAGGGUGACCGGCGACAUGGGGCCUGAGGUACGGCGCAGUCUCCAACGGGAGGCAGCAGUGGGGAAUAUUGCACAGUGGGGGGAAGCCUGAUGCAGCAACGCCGCGUGCGGAAUGCCGGCCUUCGGGUUGUAAACCGCUUUCGCCUGUGACGAAGCGUGAGUGACGGUAAUGGGUAAAGAAGCACCGGCUAACUACGUG
rnacentral:rRNA from 1 species